GAGUGUUUUUUUUUUACUCGGGGUUAGUUCUCUGAAAUGAGCCACGUGGGAGGACCACAGUGUGUUGGUGACUCUGUUGCUGAUGGAGGGGCCGCAUGAAGCUAAGACAGUCCUCUUCUGGUGCACCUGGAGUUGGCAGGCCAGGCCAGCCGGAGCCUCUCCUGUCCCCUUCCUGAAGACCGAGGGUCCCGGUUCCCCAGGACAUGCAGUUUGGUUUCGUUGCGACCCGGGGGACUUCUUUUGAGUCCAGUAAUCGGGGACACGUCUGCGAAGCAUGUACCUGCUUGGACUUCAGUGCUGGUCUGAGAAGGGCCGUGAGGCUCCCGGCGGGCGCCCGGAGGGCAAGUGUCUAAUUGCACGUUUCAGACGCGGGGUGUGCGAGCCCCCGGGCGUCGUGUGCCGUUCCGUUGGGGUGAGCUCAGCACAAACAAAAGGCUAAACCUAAGGAUUAAGUUCUCCUUCAAAUACUUACGGGUUUCCAGCUUCUGUGGAAAAUAGGCCUGGGAAAAAUCUCUUUGGGGUUUCAUGAAACACUUGGAAAAUAAAUCUGAAAAACAUUUUCCAAACCCGG